rnacentral:rRNA from 1 species
AGUGAACGCUGGCGGUAGGCCUAACACAUGCAAGUCGAACGGCAGCACAGUAAGAGCUUGCUCUUACGGGUGGCGAGUGGCGGACGGGUGAGGAAUACAUCGGAAUCUACUUUUUCGUGGGGGAUAACGUAGGGAAACUUACGCUAAUACCGCAUACGACCUACGGGUGAAAGCAGGGGAUCUUCGGACCUUGCGCGAUUGAAUGAGCCGAUGUCGGAUUAGCUAGUUGGCGGGGUAAAGGCCCACCAAGGCGACGAUCCGUAGCUGGUCUGAGAGGAUGAUCAGCCACACUGGAGCUUAGACACCGUCCAGACUCCUACGGGAGGCAGCAGUGGGGAAUAUUGGACAAUGGGCGCAAGCCUUAUCCAGCCAUACCGCGUGGGUGAAGAAGGCCUUCGGGUUGUAAAGCCCUUUUGUUGGGAAAGAAAAGCAGCAGGUUAAUACCCCGCUGUUCUGACGGUACCCAAAGAAUAAGCACCGGCUAACUUCGUG